CCUACGGGUGGCUGCAGUGGGGAAUAUUGCACAAUGGGGGGAACCCUGAUGCAGCAACGCCGCGUGGGUGAAGAAGUACUCCGGUAUGUAAAGCCCUGUCAGCAGGGAAGAACGGUCACUGUGCUAAUCAGCAGUGAAUUGACGGUACCUGCAAAGGAAGCACCGGCUAACUCCGUGCCAGCAGCCGCGGUAAUACGGAGGGUGCGUGCGUUAAUCGGAAUUACUGGGCGUAAAGCGCUCGUAGGCGGUAUGUCAAGUCAAGGGGUAAAUCCCCGCGCUCAACGUGGGAACUGCCUUUGAAACUGGCAAACUGGAGUGUGUGAGAGGAUAGUGGAAUUCCAGGUGUAGGAGUGAAAUCCGUAGAUAUCUGGAGGAACAUCAGUGGCGAAGGCGACUAUCUGGCACAUAACUGACGCUGAGGAGCGAAAGCGUGGGUAGCAAACAGGAUUAGAUACCCGGGUAGUC
rnacentral:rRNA from 1 species